rnacentral:rRNA from 1 species
GACGAACGCUGGCGGCGUGCUUAACACAUGCAAGUCGAACGGAAAGGCCCUGCUUUUGUGGGGUGCUCGAGUGGCGAACGGGUGAGUAACACGUGAGUAACCUGCCCUUGACUUUGGGAUAACUUCAGGAAACUGGGGCUAAUACCGGAUAGGAGCUCCUGCUGCAUGGUGGGGGUUGGAAAGUUUCGGCGGUUGGGGAUGGACUCGCGGCUUAUCAGCUUGGUGGUGGGGUAGUGGCUUACCAAGGCUUUGACGGGUAGCCGGCCUGAGAGGGUGACCGGCCACAUUGGGACUGAGAUACGGCCCAGACUCCUACGGGGGGCAGCAGUGGGGAAUAUUGCACAAUGGGCGGAAGCCUGAUGCAGCAACGCCGCGUGCGGGAUGACGGCCUUCGGGUUGUAAACCGCUUUCGCCUGUGACGAGGCGUGAGUGACGGUAAUGGGUAAAGAAGCACCGGCUAACUACGUG